rnacentral:rRNA from 1 species
AUUGAACGCUGGCGGCAUGCCUUACACAUGCAAGUCGAACGGCAGCACGGGAGCUUGCUCCUGGUGGCGAGUGGCGAACGGGUGAGUAAUACAUCGGAACGUGCCCAGUAGUGGGGGAUAGCCCGGCGAAAGCCGGAUUAAUACCGCAUACGACCUACGGGUGAAAGCGGGGGACCGUAAGGCCUCGCGCUAUUGGAGCGGCCGAUGUCUGAUUAGCUUGUUGGUGGGGUAAAAGCCCACCAAGGCGACGAUCAGUAGCUGGUCUGAGAGGACGAUCAGCCACACUGGGACUGAGACACGGCCCAGACUCCUACGGGAGGCAGCAGUGGGGAAUUUUGGACAAUGGACGCAAGUCUGAUCCAGCCAUUCCGCGUGCAGGACGAAGGCCUUCGGGUUGUAAACUGCUUUUGUACAGAACGAAAAGGUCUCUAUUAAUACUAGGGGCUCAUGACGGUACUGUAAGAAUAAGCACCGGCUAACUACGUGCCAGCCGCCGCAGUAA